rnacentral:rRNA from 1 species
GUGGGUAACCUGCCUGUAAGACUGGGAUAACUCCGGGAAACCGGAGCUAAUACCGGAUACUUCCUUGAACCGCAUGGUUCAAGGAUGAAAGACGGUUUCGGCUGUCACUUACAGAUGGACCCGCGGCGCAUUAGCUAGUUGGUGAGGUAACGGCUCACCAAGGCAACGAUGCGUAGCCGACCUGAGAGGGUGAUCGGCCACACUGGGACUGAGACACGGCCCAGACUCCUACGGGAGGCAGCAGUAGGGAAUCUUCCGCAAUGGACGAAAGUCUGACGGAGCAACGCCGCGUGAGUGAUGAAGGUUUUCGGAUCGUAAAGCUCUGUUGUUAGGGAAGAACAAGUGCAA